rnacentral:rRNA from 1 species
GCAUACUGCAGUCGAGCGGACAGAUGGGAGCUUGCUCCCUGAUGUUAGCGGCGGACGGGUGAGUAACACGUGGGUAACCUGCCUGUAAGACUGGGAUAACUCCGGGAAACCGGGGCUAAUACCGGAUGCUUGUUUGAACCGCAUGGUUCAAACAUAAAAGGUGGCUUCGGCUACCACUUACAGAUGGACCCGCGGCGCAUUAGCUAGUUGGUGAGGUAAUGGCUCACCAAGGCAACGAUGCGUAGCCGACCUGAGAGGGUGAUCGGCCACACUGGGACUGAGACACGGCCCAGACUCCUACGGGAGGCAGCAGUAGGGAAUCUUCCGCAAUGGACGAAAGUCUGACGGAGCAACGCCGCGUGAGUGAUGAAGGUUUUCGGAUCGUAAAGCUCUGUUGUUAGGGAAGAACAAGUACCGUUCGAAUAGGGCGGUACCUUGACGGUACCUAACCAGAAAGCCACGGCUAACUACGUGCCAGCAGCCGCGGUAAUACGUAGGUGGCAAGCGUUGUCCGGAAUUAUUGGGCGUAAAGGGCUCGCAGGCGGUUCCUUAAGUCUGAUGUGAAAGCCCCCGGCUCAACCGGGGAGGGUCAUUGGAAACUGGGGAACUUGAGUGCAGAAGAGGAGAGUGGAAUUCCACGUGUAGCGGUGAAAUGCGUAGAGAUGUGGAGGAACACCAGUGGCGAAGGCGACUCUCUGGUCUGUAACUGACGCUGAGGAGCGAAAGCGUGGGGAGCGAACAGGAUUAGAUACCCUGGUAGUCCACGCCGUAAACGAUGAGUGCUAAGUGUUAGGGGGUUUCCGCCCCUUAGUGCUGCAGCUAACGCAUUAAGCACUCCGCCUGGGGGAGAACGGUCGCAAUACUGAAACUCAAAGGAAUUGACGGGGGC